rnacentral:snRNA from 1 species
AUUUGGCUUCGAUGUCUGUCAACCCAUCAAUCGAUGGGUUUGAUUCAGCUGAUCUGGCUGGCUAGAUGGGUGUCCCCUUCCUCCCUCACCACUCCAUGCCCGUGCCUCCUGAAGCUACUUAGUCAAAGACGACCUUCCUAGUAGAAGAGGACCAGAUCAGUCAAGGUACUACGAGUAGCUGUGUUCCACACUGCCAAACAAUCCCACAAAGUUACUGCGAUCAUGGUGUCUCUUCACAGCAAUAAAACCCUGA